rnacentral:rRNA from 1 species
GACGUAGGGCGCGAGCGUUGUCCGGAUUCAUUGGGCGUAAAGAGCGCGCAGGCGGCUUGGUAAGUCGGAUGUGAAAUCCCGAGGCUCAACCUCGGGUCUGCAUCCGAUACUGCCCGGCUAGAGGUAGGUAGGGGAGAUCGGAAUUCCUGGUGUAGCGGUGAAAUGCGCAGAUAUCAGGAGGAACACCGGUGGCGAAGGCGGAUCUCUGGGCCUUACCUGACGCUCAGGCGCGAAAGCUAGGGGAGCGAACUGG